ACAAUCCUUUUUCUUUCUCUCUCUAAGCCUGUCUCUCAAUCCUGGGAGGUUACUGCUCAACUAAUUAAUUUCCAAGGGUGAUAAUGGCUUAAUAGCAAUCAAUUUCCUUUCGUCUUCAAAGGCAUGAUCUGGAGGUACUGAAACUGAUGGGGAAAAUUGAGGCUUCAUGGGAGGUGCAAGUGAUGAGUAGGUGGGCGGGCCCUUUUUGUCCCAGCUCUCAUCAGACCAUUUGGGAAGUCUGUGGGCUCUGACCAUGUCUAGGGUCAGCGCCCUCUUCAAGGGUUCUGGGGACACUCCAUGAUUCUUUAUGAGUGGGUUCACUUGGGUCUGGGGCUUGGAAUGGAGAAGGAAGGCUCUAGGGCAUGGUGCCUAUGGAAAGACAAGGGCGACUCGGAACUCCUCUCUGUGCAGCUCGGGUUUAGCACUAAGGCCCUACCUGCAUAAUGCAAUGUGGUAGCCACUAGUCACACAUAGCUAUUUACAUUUAAAUUAAUUAAAAUCAAAUCAAAUCUAGGUCCUCAGUUGCACUAGCCACAUUUCACGUGCUCAAUAGCCACUUUAGCUGGAAGCUACCAUAUUAGACACUGCAGAUAUGGAACGUUUCCAUCAUCAUAGAAAGUUCUAUUAGACAGUGCUGCUGGACCACCUGCCUCAUGGGGAAACAGGCAUGGGAGUCAGGAGAACUGAGUUUUGGUCCUAACGCAGCCAUUCAUUGGCUCUGUGACCUUGGGCAAAUUAUUUAAUUCCUCUGGCUCUCUUUCUUUAUUGAUAAAAUGGAAAUGAUAACAUUUUCCACAAGAUUCCCUUGAGCAUUAAAGGAAAAGACAAACAUAUUGGCACUAUAGUGAUUAAUAAUGUUGCCCCCCAGGCAGAAUGUUGUCCUGCUCGAGGGGCAGAGCUGAGCUGAGGAGGAACAUUUUCUCCCCUCACUGUGGUCUCCAGUCUGGUUCUAGGAUCUUACUGUAUUAGUUUUGCUUAUUAUCAUAAGCUCAGAAAGAUCCCCUAGGUGCAUGUAGGCAGGGAGGAUAAGCAGGAAGGAAGAACCAGGCUGCCGCAAGACUUGUGUAGAGCACAGUCUGCAUGACUGUCCCGGGUGGCCUGAGGGAGAUUCAGUCUUGAGCAUGCACCUGGGAACGAUGAACAAAGGAGAAUCUGAGGGGUCAAGCAGGUCUGGUUAACAGUGGACAUGGGUGAUGCUGGAAAGCAACAGGGGACUAGAUCUAGUGCUUGGCAUGUAGUAGGUGCUCAAGAAAUACCUGCGGAAUGAAUGAAUGUGCAAAGCACACAGAAGGUAAAGGCCAACAGUCAGCUUCUGGUGACCCUGGCUGGCUUCUGUGAUGGUUUCCCAUAGGUAUAAAGCCUUGAGUUAAUGGAGAAGGGGGGGCAGUGGAGGGUGGGAUUCGCUUUCAAAUAGGAUGCAGUAAAUACAGGGGAAGUAUAACAGCCUCUAUUUAUUGGCCGUCUACUAUGUUCCAAGGGUUCUGCAUGUUUAUCUCUACUCCUUGCAAAUACUCUGCAAGGUACAUGUCUUUAUUACCAUUUUAAAGAAGAGCGGGUUGCCCAGAGUCACCUGGCUUUGUGCGAGCAUCCGAGAUUCAAACCUAAAGUCCACUUCUUUCCUGCAAAGUCAAAUUACUCUUAAACAGGUAACGUGUUCUCUCUGAGGAGGCCUGCGUUGUCGGAGCUUUAAUGCGAGAAGUCGCAACAAUGUCUGCUCUUCAGGUGGACUUCUGACUAAUGCUCUCUUUGGUUUGGCCCGGUUGGUAGACGUACACGAGUAUUUCACAGCACUUUACCAUCUGUGCCUUGAACAUACAACAGCAGUGAAGUUAUUUCUCUCAGUUGAAAAUGGAGAACUGCAGCACCAGGAAGUUAUAUGACUUGUUCGAGAGCCUAAGAGAGCAAGUCGCUGAUGGAGUGUAUAUGGAAAUGAGGACAUUCAGGAGACUGUUCGGGGAACUGAAAUGGAUCUGUGACACGUCACUGUGUGUAUCUAUUGCUAAGUUAUGGAAUUAUUUAAUGCUUUUUGCUUCUUCCGCCUCAGUGCUUUUAAUUGUGUAUUCCAGAAUGCAACAAAAUAACGCCAGAAGACUGUGCACCACAUAGAACACAAGUGUCAAUCACAGGCCAUUCUGCUUGGAGUUCUGGAGGCUAGAAGUCUGAAAUCAAGGCAAGGUUGGUUCCUCCUGGAGGGUCUGAGGGAGAAUCUCUUCUAUGCCGCUCUCCUGACUUCUGGUGGCUCCUGGCAAUCCUUGGUGUUCCUUGACUUGUGGCUGCAUCACUCCGAUCUCUGUCUACAUCUUCACAAGACCUUUUUAUCUCUGUGUGUCUGAUCAAAGAUGCCUGUAUGAAACAUUGGAAUCCUUCAUACAUAGCAAAAGCCUAAAUAAAAUGUAUUUUUGUACCACCCUGUCCUACUUUCCUGCCAACAAAUAUACACCCACACCCUCCUGCCUUUUCUCACAAACCUUCUAUGUUUUCUAAAAACUUGGGGCUUACACAUCUUACUAUCAUUAAUUCUGUCAACAGGAGUUUGUUGGACAGCCUUGAAGGAGUGGUAAGAUUUUCCCAGGUGGAGAAGACAGAGAGGUAUUUCAGGCGGCAAAACCAUAAGGAAUAGAAGUUUGAUCCAGGUGAGGAAGACAGAGUAUUUUCCCUCUCUCCUUUCUUUCAUAUUUUUCACUUUCCUUGUACCACCAAGCCACAGAGUUCACAAACUGUACAUCGUACAACUUGUCCUCAGCUCCAGAAGUGCCAGGUUGGUUCGGCUGGAACUGUAGACAAGACACUUCCUGUGGAAGAGGCGGUUAGGCUGUGGGCAGGAAACAGGGACAGUUAACAGAGAAGACCUAGAAUUUCUACCUUCAGUCUGGGAAAUUGCCUCUUGAAUGAACUAUAUGAGGACUAUGAAAUCUUGGAUGGUUUCUGUCCUUGAAAAAAGUAAGGCUGAAUGUAACUUCGAUUGGGAACUUUAGUUCUGCUCUAAGCUUUGCUUCGUUUGGGGGUAAGUUGAGAGCAGAAGUUCUUAUCUGGCCAACUGCUACUUCAUACAGGAUCUGAGGUCCUUGUAAGAGGACCAGAUGCCCCUGUGGUCUAUGAUCUCUAAAAGACGGAACUAGAAGAAUAUCCUUCCCCUACUUUUAACAAACUGUAGAGCUCAUGGCUUACUUUAUGAAUUAACAUCUCAGGUGAAUAUAUUGACGGAGCUUGGGAUGUGUUCUAGCUUUGCGUGAUGAAGCAGGGAACUAUUUGGACCCAUGGUCACCUGUUGGGCUAGGAUUCCUCAUGAAGGCCCUCCUCUUUGUGACUUUCUUGUAUAUAAAUCUUCGUCUUCCCUCCCUACCCCAACCCAAAAUAGAUGCAGUUAUAGAGUAACACCACCAGGCAGACAUACCUGGAAGGAAAAAUUGAUGAACUUCAGAAUUAAAUUCAAAGGAUAUAGUACUUGGUGUGCUGGAAGUAUUCACUGGCAAAUAUGUCAGACCCUAACAUAGAUUGGUCUGACAUAUUUCCAUGGGAAAAACAUCACAUCUUUUCUAUUCUUUCAAAUCGGGCACGUGAAAUGCAUUUCAUUAAACAUGAUGCAUUAGGGGGCCCUCAGCUCACAUAUUUUAUUUAGCAAAAAGGCACAAUACACCUUUCUCUCCUAAUGUCUGUUUGCUUUGAGAAAUCUUUUUGCCCUUCAUGCACACCUAAGAAGCACAUCUCCAAGGUACAUAAAUUUCCAGACUAUGUUUUCAACCAGGUGAAUUGCAAAAUCGAUCAGUCAGUCCUUCCAACCCAGAAGAGAAAUUGUCAUUGGAAAGUUCCAUUCCCAAGGCUGGAUCUUAGCAUUGAGGCAGACCUGGAUGGGGAAGGAGGGUGGGCUUCUGUUGGGACAAGUGAUGGGAGCUUUGGGAGUCUUCCACUCUGUGAUUGAUGAAACCCCCUCAUCUGAGAUAAUACUCCUUUGGCCAGAUGUGCUGAAUUCUGGGAUUGCACAGGGUGAGUGCUAAUGGGAGUCAAGUCAAAGACAGCGGUCAAGGAGAAACGAGAGGAGAGAGGAUAUUUCCAGAUGAGACUUGAAAUGAGAUCAUGAGUUGAUGUGGCGAAGACAGUCAGGAUGGCCGUUCCAGAUGACAGGAGCUGCAGAAGAUGUCACCACAUGUUUGUCUUUAGGAAGAGAGAAAGCUUAGAGGGGCAGGAACACCAAGUAUUAAAAGUACUACAUGCAACACAGAACAUUGUUUUAAAAUCUGAGGACUUCCCUAGCAGUCCAGUGGUUAAGAUUCCAUGCUUCCACUGCAGGCGGUGCAGGUUCGACCCCUGGUCAGGGAACUAAG